UGGAACUCAGGCAGUAAGUAUUUAUUUUAGCUCCUGGUGAUUACAAUAAGCAGCCAAAGUUAAGAACCAUUGUAAAAACCCAAGUCAAGCUUGAAAGACCAGACCAGCAGUUAUAUCUCAGGAGCCAUUUCCCAGGAAGAGUCUGCCAUGAGCAUCUCAGGACCUGAAGCAGACUGCUACAGCUGUGAUCUCUCCUGUGGGGUCCUGUCCUCGUGAACACUCGGUGGACCUCCAGGCUGUGGGGCGGUAUGCGGAAUCUGAGGUGGAAACGAGGGUCUCCUCUGGAGGGAGAGACCCAGCACCCAGGACUCAGAGAGGGGCAGCAGGGUGACUGCAUACUCUUGACUGUCCUAUGGCCUUGCUCUUUGUCCCCUGCUCUUUCUGAUCUUCUCAGAUUUUGUGUUGACCAUGAUUGUGUCCUUUCUCCUUCUCCUCUCAGCCCCAAGAUAACCUCCUUAUGCCCAUUGUCUCAGUGGUCGCCCAUACUCUGCUUCAGCACCCAUGCUCCUACCUAUCAAACGGGCUAUUACUGGCUUCUCUUAGCUACUGUAGCUUUCCCUUUUCCUGCAGUGCUAGUUAUUGAACCCAGUACCUUCUGCAUACCAGGUGAAAGAGAUGCUGUGCCCCGGGGGCCGGGGGUCUCUCCCCGCAUUCCCGAAAUAAAGGUUACUUAUGUUU